rnacentral:rRNA from 1 species
GACGAACGCUGGCGGCGUGCUUAAUACAUGCAAGUCAACUGAAUUAUCGGUAGCAAUACUGGUAAGGAGGUGGCGCACGGGUGCGUAACGCGUAGGUAAUCUGCCCUUGGGUCUGACAUAACCCGCCGAAAGGCGAGCUAAUAUCAGAUGAUGCAGCGGCUUGACAUCAAGACAGUUGUUAAAGCUUGAGCAAUCAAUGCGCCCAUGGANGAGCCUGCGUCUGAUUAGGUAGUUGGCGGAGUAAAAGCCCACCAAGCCCACGAUCAGUAGCUGGUCUGAGAGGAUGAUCAGCCACACUGGAACUGAGACACGGUCCAGACUCC